rnacentral:rRNA from 1 species
GGUCCGUCGUAGAGGGUAACAACCCCGUAGUCGAAACUUCGUUCUCUCUUGAAUGUAUCCUGAGUACGGCGGAACACGUGAAAUUCCGUCGGAAUCUGGGAGGACCAUCUCCCAAGGCUAAAUACUCCCUAGUGAUCGAUAGUGAACCAGUACCGUGAGGGAAAGGUGAAAAGCACCCCGGAAGGGGAGUGAAAGAGAUCCUGAAACCGUGUGCCUACAAAUAGUCAGAGCCCGUUAACGGGUGAUGGCGUGCCUUUUGUAGAAUGAACCGGCGAGUUACGAUCCCGUGCGAGGUUAAGCUGAAGAGGCGGAGCCGCAGCGAAAGCGAGUCUGAAUAGGGCGUUUAGUACGUGGUCGUAGACCCGAAACCAGGUGAUCUACCCAUGUCCAGGGUGAAGUUCAGGUAACACUGAAUGGAGGCCCGAACCCACGCACGUUGAAAAGUGCGGGGAUGAGGUGUGGGUAGCGGAGAAAUUCCAAUCGAACCUGGAGAUAGCUGGUUCUCCCCGAAAUAGCUUUAGGGCUAGCCUUAAGUGUAAGAGUCUUGGAGGUAGAGCACUGAUUGGACUAGGGGUCCUCAUCGGAUUACCGAAUUCAGUCAAACUCCGAAUGCCAAUGACUUAUCCUUAGGAGUCAGACUGCGAGUGAUAAGAUCCGUAGUCAAAAGGGAAACAGCCCAGACCGCCAGCUAAGGUCCCAAAGUGUGUAUUAAGUGGAAAAGGAUGUGGAGUUGCUUAGACAACUAGGAUGUUGGCUUAGAAGCAGCCACCAUUUAAAGAGUGCGUAAUAGCUCACUAGUCGAGUGACUCUGCGCCGAAAAUGUACCGGGGCUAAAUACACCACCGAAGCUGCGGAUUGAUACCAAUGGUAUCAGUGGUAGGGGAGCGUUCUAAGGACAGUGAAGUCAGACCGUAAGGACUGGUGGAGUGCUUAGAAGUGAGAAUGCCGGUAUGAGUAGCGAAAGACGGGUGAGAAUCCCGUCCACCGAAUGCCUAAGGUUUCCUGAGGAAGGCUCGUCCGCUCAGGGUUAGUCAGGACCUAAGCCGAGGCCGACAGGCGUAGGCGAUGGACAACAGGUUGAUAUUCCUGUACCACCUCUUUAUCGUUUGAGCAAUGGAGGGACGCAGAAGGAUAGAAGAAGCGUGCGAUUGGUUGUGCACGUCCAAGCAGUUAGGCUGAUAAGUAGGCAAAUCCGCUUAUC